CACGUAGGGGGCAAGCGUUGUCCGGAUUUAUUGGGCGUAAAGAGCUCGUAGGCGGCUCAGUAAGUCAGGUGUGAAACCUCCAGGCUCAACCUGGAGACGCCACCUGAUACUGCUGUGGCUAGAGUCCGGUAGGGGAGCGUGGAAUUCCUGGUGUAGCGGUGAAAUGCGUAGAGAUUAGGAAGAACACCAGUGGCGAAGGCGACUUUCUGGACUGUAACUGACGCUGAGGCUCGGAAAGCGUGGGGAGCAAACAGG
rnacentral:rRNA from 1 species